rnacentral:rRNA from 1 species
AUUGAACGCUGGCGGAAUGCUUUACACAUGCAAGUCGAACGGCAGCACGGACUUCGGUCUGGUGGCGAGUGGCGAACGGGUGAGUAAUACAUCGGAACGUGACCAGGCGUGGGGGAUGACGUAGCGAAAGCUAAGCUAAUACCGCAUACGAUCUAAGGAUGAACGCGGGGGAUAGCAAGACCUCGCGCGAGUGGAGGGGACGAUGGCAGAUUAGGUAGUUGGUGGGGUAAAGGCUCACCAAGCCGACGAUCUGUAGCUGGUCUGAGAGGACGACCAGCCACACUGGGACUGAGACACGGCCCAGACUCCUACGGGAGGCAGCAGUGGGGAAUUUUGGACAAUGGGCGCAAGCCUGAUCCAGCCAUUCCGCGUGCAGGAUGAAGGCCCUCGGGUUGUAAACUGCUUUUGUACGGAACGAAAAGGCUCUGGUUAAUACCUGGGGCUCAUGACGGUACCGUAAGAAUAAGCACCGGCUAACUACGUGCCAGCAGCCGCCGUAA